GACGAACGCUGGCGGCGUGCCUAAUACAUGCAAGUCGAGCGCAGGAAACUGACGGAACUCUUCGGAGGGAAGGCAGUGGAAUGAGCGGCGGACGGGUGAGUAACACGUAAGGAACCUGCCUCAAGGAUUGGGAUAACUCCGAGAAAUCGGAGCUAACACCGGAUAGUUCAACGGACCGCAUGGUCCGCUGAUGAAAGGCGCCCCGGCGUCACCUUGAGAUGGCCUUGCGGUGCAUUAGCUAGUUGGUGGGGUAACGGCUCACCAAGGCGACGAUGCAUAGCCGACCUGAGAGGGUGAUCGGCCACACUGGGACUGAGACACGGCCCAGAAUCCUACGGGAGGCAGCAGUAGGGAAUCUUCCACAAUGGACGAAAGUCUGAUGGAGCAACGCCGCGUGAGUGAUGAAGGUUUUCGGAUCGUAAAACUCUGUUGUAAGGGAAGAACACGUACGAGAGGAAAUGCUCGUACCUUGACGGUACCUUACGAGAAAGCCACGGCUAACUACGUGCCAGCCGCCGCGGUAAAAC
rnacentral:rRNA from 1 species